UACGAAGGGGGCUAGCGUUGCUCGGAAUCACUGGGCGUAAAGGGUGCGUAGGCGGGUCUUUUAAGUCAGGGGUGAAAUCCUGGAGCUCAACUCCAGAACUGCCUUUGAUACUGAGGAUCUUGAGUUCGGGAGAGGUGAGUGGAACUGCGAGUGUAGAGGUGAAAUUCGUAGAUAUUCGCAAGAACACCAGUGGCGAAGGCGGCUCACUGGCCCGGUACUGACGCUGGAGGUGCGAAAGCGUGGGGAGCAACAGG
rnacentral:rRNA from 1 species